AUUCCAGCUCCAAUAGCGUAUAUUAAAGUUGUUGCAGUUAAAAAGCUCGUAGUUGAACCUUGGACAAAGUGCGCGUGGUCUACCGCAAGGUAUGACUGCGGCGCUGCGUCUCUUUAGGGGGACUCGAUGCUUCGGUGUCGAGGUAACCCGUGUUACUGUGAAGAAAUUAGAGUGUUUAAAGCAGGCUAUCGCUUGAAUACAUCAGCAUGGAAUAACAAGUUGGACUUUGCUCCUACUUGUAGGUUUGAGGGGAAAAGUAAUGAUUAAUAGGGCCAGUUGGGGGCAUUAGUAUUCAGUAGUCAGAGGUGAAAUUCUUGGAUUUACUGAAGACUAACUAGUGCGAAAGCAUUUGCAAAGGAUGUUUUCAUCG
rnacentral:rRNA from 1 species